AAAACAUUAGUAAAAUUAUUACCAGGCCUUGUCAUGGCUUAAUUAUUAGUUAAAUUCUUAUAUGUUUUU
rnacentral:tRNA from 1 species